AGAAAUCACUCCAAAUUGAUGAGACGAAAAUUUGAUCAGAAAGGAAAAAUUCUUUUUAGUACUACUACUCCAGUUGAUGACUGCAUGAAGAGCAAAUGAUCAACAGCAUGAUUGCUGCAAUCUUCACCAGUUUCCUUUAUUUUGCAAUCAAUCUUUACCAGUUUCUUUAUUCAACAAAGGACAGCUUGUUUUUAAUUAGAUUUGAGUGAGUAGGUAGCAGAAAUUGAGGCUGGUACUAGUACUGUACAUGCAUAUGCAGUGGCAGCAGAUGGAGACAGUGCAGUGAAUGGCCAUCAAAAUUAGGUCGGGGUGGCACUGGCUCGUUGUACUGGAAGCUGCAGGCGGCGCCUCAUCAAAGCGGCAGACAAGAAUUAUACAGUACACGGUACACUACUCCAAUUAACAUCGUUUAUCAUCAGUGACCGUAUAACUUAACAACACUGAGCCAAAUUCAGACCAGAACUUCAGCUGUAGAAAGAAACACAUGGGGCAAUUCACAGUGGAAUUUACUCUUCUUUUAUGCAGUAGCUGUUUCUUGCAAGGGACACAGUUAGAAACACUAGCUAGUUGCAUUGUAUUCUCCAGGGACAAAGGUAAAAAGAUGGAGUUUAAGACGGGAUCGAUGAGCGGCAGUAGUAAGUGUCGGCAGGGACAGCAAAAAGGCAGCCGUAGAUCUAUCUACUCUUGGCCUUUUGGGUAGUGUUCAUGAAGAAGAACAGCUCACUCACUACUUACAACCAUGCAUGGAAAGGUAGAGAAACCACAAGUAACUAAUGUACCCUCAUUCGUUCGAGGCCAGGUCAGGCCAGGCCAGUAGCUAAGAAUUAACCACACCGAAUUUAAUCAAAGUAAGUAAAUGCACCGAUCUGUCAAACCAACCCUUCUGACAAGUGCAAGGACACAUCACAAGACGGUGCAAGUGGUCUGGAGUUCUGACUUCUGAGCUCUGAGAGCACUCUCACUGUGCUAGUGCUAACUAACUGCAUCUUCAUUUUCGCCAACUACUUAUGGAGCACUUAGUUCUAAAUAACAGUCAUGAAAUUAGGAGAAUCUAGCUAUGAGAUCUGGCAAGCAUCCCUAGCUAAAGUUGGUUUUAACUUUCAUCGACAUGCAUGCUCACUGCACUCUAGAUUGAUGGAUAAGCAUUUGUGAAGUAAUGCCAGAGAGUGAGAGCAAACGAACACAGCAUAUGAGAGCACGACUAACUACAUAUUCAGGCUGAAAGUUAGUUAGUACUGGUAACCACUAGCUGUGCAGCCUGUGCUAACUAAUUGAGGUACUAGUUCGUACCUCGAGGAAGGUGGUGACCCUGUCGACGGCCAUGGUCCGGAUGCGCUCCGGCGGGAUGGAGUCGGCGGCCAUGAAGCUGUAGGCGUAGUCGUUGGCGCCGAUCUCUCCCACCCAGUACAGCGCCUCGCCGAUCUCCUCCUUCUUGACUUGGCGCGCCUUGAGGUGCGCGUCGAACCAGCCCAGCUCCGUCAUGAUGGACUGCGGUGUGAUGUCGACGCUGAGGUUGUUCUUGGCGAAGAAGUCGUGCUCGAUGGCCGUCGCGCCGGCCACCGCGAAGUUGGCGCCGUAGUACUUGCUGCUCUUGCUGCUGGCGGAGGUGGCGUUGGGGCCGGCGAGGGAGAGGUAGGGCGGGAGGAAGGAGGGCAGCGCGAGCGCGUCGGUGGCCAGGAAGUCGACGACGAGGCGGCCGUCGGAGUAGCGGUUGGUGGAGCGGUGGAAGAAGGUGGCGCCGUAGGGCGGGUUGGAGACGUAGCCGUACGAGUAAGGACCGGUGGUGGAGUGCGUGUUGCCCGUGUCCGUGAACGAGUCCCCGAACGCGUACACCGUCCGGAACGGCGGGGGUGGCGCCGGCGCCGGCGCCGCGGCGGCCACGGAGACGACGGUCACUGCGGCGAGGAGGAGGAGGAAGCGUCGGGCGGCGGUGGACGCGGCCAUGGCGAGCGCGAUCGAGUGAGCUCGCUUGCCACCUGCUGCUGGAUGCUGCUUAGCCGCUUAAGCUUGCUGCCUCGGCGUCUGGUGAUGGUGGUUUUUAUAGUUGGAUCCAGGCCCGCCAGGUAGCACACCGG
rnacentral:lncRNA from 1 species